AUGGCCUACAAGGAGAACGUGAACCCCGGCUUGUACGGCCUCCUUAAGGUACACCCCCCCCAAAUAAAAACCCUCCUUUUUGGGGUGCCCCAAACCCCCUUCCAAUUCCCCCCUUUUAUUUUUCCCCAGCAGAAUGGGGCCCCGGCCCCCCCCUGCAGCCCAGCGGGUGCCCCUCAAGGACCCCCCCACCACGGGGACCCCCUCCGAUGCCCUCCUGCUGCAGAGAGCCACCGGCCGGCCUCCCCCCGUGCCAGCAGCAGGACGCGUCCCUGUGGAGCCCAACACCUUGUUGGCCCCCCAGUACCUGCUGGCAGAAGCCAGCUUCGGUUUCAGAAGAGUACAGGCCAUGGAGCUUGGAUCAGUUCACAGGGGAGAGAAGACAGCGCAGGGAGAGGACAGCCAACUCCAGCAGGAGCUGAGGCCUUUCUGAGCAGAGGCCACAGCCCUCACAGCUCCCCCCCAGCCUCCUCAGAAGAUGCUCCGCGUGCAGCCCCAGAGACCACGCUCCCAGGGCCGUGUUUGCCUCCAUCUCUGGAGGGAGCAUCCAAGAUUAAGACUGCACACACCUCCAAAAAGAGUGCUGAAGUACGACACCCCAUUGCGACUACUGGUUCUCCAGCUGAUUUAGCAGAAGAAUGUCCCUUUACAAACCUUCAGCACUUUUACAUGUCUUUAUUGAAGUCCACAAAGAUGUAA
rnacentral:lncRNA from 1 species